rnacentral:tRNA from 1 species
GGCAAUGUGGCUUAGUGGUAGAGUGCUUACCUAGUAUGCAUGAAGCCCUGGGUUCAAUUCCUCAGUACCA